GAUGAAGAACGUAGCGAAAUGCGAUAAGUAAUGUGAAUUGCAGAAUUCAGUGAAUCAUCGAAUCUUUGAACGCAUCUUGCGCUCCUUGGUAUUCUGAGGAGCAUGCCUGUUUGAGUGUCAUUAAAUUCUCAACUACACUGACUUUGAAUUGGUUUGGCUUGGAUUUGGGGGGAAAAUUGUUGUGGGCUUUUUGUAUAGUCUGCUCCCCUGAAAUUGAUUAGCGGUACCUUUGUGGAACUGUCUACAGGUGUGAUAAUUAUCUACAUCUUAGACAUCUGCUGGAAUGCUGCUUUCUAAACCUUACUUGUAUUGACAAUCUUGACCUCAAAUCAGGUAGGACUACCCGCUGAACUUAAGCAUAUCAAUAAGCGGAGGA
rnacentral:misc_RNA from 1 species